GGUGAGUUUUCUUCUCCCGGCCGAUCGCCGCUCGUUUUUUGCUUGCCUUCGGUCUUUGCUUUCUCGUCUUGGGUUGGUGCCUGACCUAGAAAAGAGGUUUCAUGGUGGUGGAUAGUGAUUGCUCCUCUAAUGCGGCUAUGAGAUUUGCAUUGCUUCCAUUACUUAUUCUGCAGCUAGACAAGUUGAAGAGGAUCUCUCAGUUUUUCCCCAAAUGAAAGAGUUUCAUCAAUCAACUUUUUUGUUUUGCACAAGGAAAGAAAGGAAAUUGGAUGCCCCUUGUACUUGUGGUUUCUUGCAUUCCCCUUUGUUCAGGUAAUCCAUAGUGAUGAUUAGUUCGAGUAUUGUUAUCUUUUAAAGUUUUGGAGUCUAUGGAUAAUUUGUGGAUUUAUUGAGGCAGGUCUGCAAAUUCCAUGUUUUUCCUGUGGUUGACUACCAUUUGCAGAAUGUCACUGGAUAAUCAUCCUCGCUUUGAUUGCUAAGAACAUAUGUGCAGUUUAUUUGUCAGCUAUUGGAAUAUCUUAAUUUAUUUCUGUCUUUUGCAAUGCUUUUCUAAGAUAUACUGCUUUCAAGGAUUUUUGUUCCAAAAGCAAAUGAACAUGGAUUUCGGUUAUUUCAUUUUCAGGGUGGUACACCUGUGGUUCCAGAAUUUGACUAAAUUACCUCACGGUGUUACAAGUCCCAUCUUUCUUCUCCUGAUUGCUGGUUUGCACUAUGCCAAUAUUCAGAUAAUUUGCUUAUGUACCUCGUCUCUGUCUGAUUUGAGUUAUUUAUUUAUUUUUUGUUUUGAGCUGAUAUGAACUUUGCAGAUGAUUAUAUUGUCAAAUAUGUUCAAAGAACGUUCAAAAUUGAAGUAAAAAUGCUCCAUUGUCCCACAUGUGGGUGCUACAUUUGUAGCUGAUGUUUUUUUCUUUGACAUACAGAUUUCUUUCAAGACAUAUUCUCUCAAUACAAUGAAGGGCG